CAAAGAAUUGCCUGCACUAAAAGGCAACGACAAAGAGAGCAGGAAAGAUCAAAAACUUUGCUGUUGUCCGCGGAGAUGGUCUGUGAAAAUGAACAAGGCCACACGUCACCUCGUCUGACAACUAAAAUCAGCCAAGCCAGCAUCAGCAGCAACAACCAGUCUGACCUGAGGAGACGCUCCCUCUGGCACCCAACUGCCGUCUGUUUUGAGUACACCCCCAGGCAGUGGAACCUGAUAGCUCUUAAACUUGGUGUAAGAUUUCUCCAAAGUGUGCUGGGAAUGAUGGAUUAUCUCAGUAACAGACUCGUUAGCGACUUCUCUUCAGUUUCUGUUCGUAACACAGAGGUCUGCAAAUAAACAGUAAAAAGAGCAAGAGCUCUGGCCCUUCUUGUUACUUCCAGUGUAAGCAAGGAUGUGCAGACGCCAUGAGUCAGGAGCAGUUGGUAUGUCCUGGAACAAACAUGAUGAAGCAGCAGUGAGGUGCAGCUUUACUGCUGCUUUUACAG